rnacentral:rRNA from 1 species
GACGAACGCUGGCGGCGUGCUUAACACACGCAAGUCGAGCGGUAAGGCCCUUUCGGGGGUACGACGAGCGGCGAACGGGUGAGUAACACGUGGGUGACCUGCCCUCAGCUCUGGGAUAAGCCUGGGAAACCGGGUCUAAUACUGGAUAUGACUCCAUGACGCAUGUUGUGGGGUGGAAAGCCUUGUGCGGCUGAGGAUGGGCCCGCGGCCUAUCAGCUUGUUGGUGGGGUGAUGGCCUACCAAGGCGACGACGGGUAGCCGGCCUGAGAGGGCGACCGGCCACACUGGGACUGAGACACGGCCCAGACUCCUACGGGAGGCAGCAGUGGGGAAUCUUGCGCAAUGGGCGAAAGCCUGACGCAGCGACGCCGCGUGAGGGAUGACGGCCU